rnacentral:rRNA from 1 species
AGCGAACGCUGGCGGCAGGCCUAACACAUGCAAGUCGAACGGAUCCUUCGGGAUUAGUGGCGGACGGGUGAGUAACACGUGGGAACGUGCCCUUUGGUUCGGAACAACUCAGGGAAACUUGAGCUAAUACCGGAUGUGCCCUUCGGGGGAAAGAUUUAUCGCCAUUGGAGCGGCCCGCGUCUGAUUAGCUAGUUGGGGAGGUAAAGGCUCACCAAGGCGACGAUCAGUAGCUGGGCUGAGAGGAUGAUCAGCCACCUUGGGACUGAGACACGGCCCAAACUCCUACGGGAGGCAGCAGUGGGGAAUCUUGCGCAAUGGGCGAAAGCCUGACGCAGCCAUGCCGCGUGAAUGAUGAAGGUCUUAGGAUUGUAAAGCACUUUCACCGGGGAAGAUAAUGACGGUACCCGGAGAAGAAGCCCCGGCUAACUUCGUGCCAGCCGCCGCAGUAACAC